UCUCCUAAUUACCCACUCGCUCACUGAGAGAGCACUCACACACACACACACACACACACACACACACACACACACACACACUCUGAAAACAUAUGCAGAAAGUCCCUGCCCCACCCACAGCCUCUCUCACACACACACACUCAUUCAGUCAGUGAGGGAGAAGCUCCACUCCACUCCUCACACACACCCUCAGUCACACACACACACACACACUGCUCCUGCUGCCGCUGCCAUGAAGCCCACUGGAAUAGUUCUGCUGGUCGUGUCCAUCACACUCCUCCAUAAAGGUGACUCUCUACAAGCAAAUCUAACCAACCCAGCCGGUGAGUCUGAUACAGCAAAUCCAACGCCACAAGCCGCAGGCGGUGAGUCAGUCAGUGUGUGAAUAGUGUGUGAUCAGUGUGUGAAUAGUGUGUGAUCAGUGUGUGAAUAGUGUGUGAAUAGUGUGUGAUCAGUGUGUGAAUAGUGUGUGAAUAGUGUGUGAUCAGUGUGUGAAUAGUGUGUGAUCAGUGUGUGAAUAGUGUGUGAUCAGUGUUUGAAUAGUGUGUGAUCAGCCACGGAUGGUAAGUAAAGAAGUACCGGAACAAUCAAUGUUCAACAAUUAGAGUUUGGUCACUUAUUGAACUAAAUCAUUUGGAUGGAAAGUGCACAGCCACAGCAGACCCAAGCUAAAGAAAACGAGAUUUUAAGAGAAGGGGAGGCCAACUGUCAUAUUUAGCUAAUAAUGGCCAUGAUGUUUGUUUACCUUUUUCUUUACGACAAAAAACAAGCAUGGCAAAGCUCAGCAAGCAGACUGGUCAAAAUACUGAGCACAUGAUCGGGGCUCAGAAUUAGUCACACACCAAUCAGAACCUCAGGAUCGAUAGAUAAAAGGACCAUGGACCAAUCAGAACCUCAGGAUAGAUAGAUAAAAGGGCCACUUUUUGGAACCUUUGUCAAAAACCUUCUUUAUGUACAAACUGUUUUUUUUAUAGUUUUAUAUUGGUAAAUGCAUGGAAAAUAUUUUUCAGUAUUCUAGCUUGUUUAUGGAUCAGAUAUAUAUUUUUAAUAACAUUUACUUUCCCCCUGAAUUUCAGUUUAUUUUACUACAGUGCACUGAGGAAUUUAAAUGUACAUUACAUUUGUAAAUGUAUAAAUGUAAAUGUACGAUUUAUAAAUGUGUUGUGACUUUAUAUUGCAGUGAUCAUGUAAAUAGUUUGUUCUGUGGGGAAAUCGUAAAUGCCAUUGCUCAUCACAGUAACAGGUUUAUACAGUAGUGUUUUGUACUGAGCAGUUCUUUACGUUGCCAGUGUGGUUAGUACGUAAUUUCCUGUUUAUUUAUCUCUAGAAAAUCUGUGUCCCUUUACAAGUGUUUGUAUGUGUGUGCAAAAUUAGGUUUAGAUGUA
rnacentral:lncRNA from 1 species